rnacentral:rRNA from 1 species
AGCGAACGCUGGCGGCAGGCUUAACACAUGCAAGUCGAGCGGGCAUCCUUGUGGUGUCAGCGGCAGACGGGUGAGUAACGCGUGGGAACGUGCCCUUCGGUUCGGAAUAACUCAGGGAAACUUGAGCUAAUACCGGAUACGUGCGAGAGCAGAAAGGUUUAUCUGCCGAAGGAUCGGCCCGCGUCUGAUUAGCUAGUUGGUGAGGUUACGGCUCACCAAGGCGACGAUCAGUAGCUGGUCUGAGAGGAUGAUCAGCCACACUGGGACUGAGACACGGCCCAGAAUCCUACGGGAGGGAGCAGUGGGGAAUAUUGGACAAUGGGGGCAACCCUGAACCAGCCAUGCCGCGUGAGUGAUGACGGCCUUAGGGUUGUAAAGCUCUUUUCUCCGGGACGAUAAUGACGGUACCGGAGGAAUAAGCCCCGGCUAACUUCGUG